rnacentral:rRNA from 1 species
UACGAAGGGGGCUAGCGUUGCUCGGAAUCACUGGGCGUAAAGCGCACGUAGGCGGCUUUCUAAGUCAGGGGUGAAAUCCUGGAGCUCAACUCCAGAACUGCCUUUGAUACCGGAGAGCUCGAGUCCGGAAGAGGUGAGUGGAACUGCGAGUGUAGAGGUGAAAUUCGUAGAUAUUCGCAAGAACACCAGUGGCGAAGGCGGCUCACUGGUCCGGUACUGACGCUGAGGUGCGAAAGCGUGGGGAGCAAACAGG